CGCCCGACAGCGUGUGAAUGAUAUUCUUUAACGUGACGGUGACGAAACGUCGGCCGGCCUCUACGGCAGCUCGCUUUAAUUUUUAGGGCGUGAGUCUUUAAGGCUCGACGGAGCCCUACCUCGUAUUAAUAGUCGGUUGAUGUGUUACUCACUUAGUGAAUGUCCGAUUACUUGUGUGACGUCUGGCUUUUAGGGGAAAGGUGUGCGAGACGAUUACCAUAAGCAGAAAUCGAAGAAGGAUAUGCCUAUUUUCAUGUGAAACGAGCAGGAUGGCGUUUACUACUGUCAAAUGUAUCUAGCUUACUUUUUUCAUACUCAAAAUAUUUAAUCUAAUAAGUUUUCAUAAUAAUAUAUAUUAUUUUUAAACCCUAAAAAGUGUGUAAUAUAUGAUGAUAUUUUUCCGUAAAAUUCAACGCAUCGCCCACGCCGCCACUGGACAUAAACUGAGGCAAGGGGGUAUGCGAGGCUGCGUUUUGCUAAAGAAUUAAAGCAGAUCUCGUACAUCUUUCCCCUACACCUAACGCCUAUAUCUAAAAUGAAUCAAACGGCUGUAUUACGAUUGUCGCUACUUCUCCGUUACUAAUAAUAAUUAUUAUUUAAGCUUCUUUUCUCACACAUCCAUUUUAAGAUUGUCUUUUGAUCACAAAAGAUUAUGAACAUAUCAAUGUUCAUGAAGUGUAACCCCUUGAAGGUAAAAGCCUCGUCCAUCAUUUUACAUUUCUGGUUGUCAGUUACUAACCAUAUUUACCUAAUUUUGUGCGACUUUGAAUUUGACCGCCCCUUCAAGUCUAAGCAGUUUAAUUAGUAAUUAGUUCGAGUGGUAGGUAUUAUUUAGACAUGCAUCAAUAUAUUUGGUAUGUAACGUACGAGGAUAUUCCCGGUAAACCACCUUAAGAGCAAAAAUCGUUUAAACGUCUUGCAGACACGCAAUAUCAUAAAAGUGAUGACCAAUAGCAUGGCACUUAAAAAUGCGGGUGUUGAAAAAAAAGGUUAGCUCAGGUAAAGUUUAUUGCCGUUCAUUGUCUUUGUGACGGUCGGCAUUUGCAAAUUAAGAUAAGGAAUCCACAAUGCAUCCUAAUUGGUUAUCUUUUUCGGGAGGCGAAGCUUAGCCUAAACAACAACAACUAAUAAACUUUACUGUCCUUACUACCUAUUGUUUGUGUCAUUCAACGUUUUUACCUUUGCAUUAUAUGAUAAAUGCACCGUAAUUGGUUAUCUCUAUGGGAGGCGGAGUUUAGCUCGCUCGUACGGAUCGAGGUAAAAUUUUUCUGAAGUGGUUCACCGAGAAUGUCCGCGAUUGUACCUAAAUUACAAAAUCCAUUAGGGAUUGUGUAUGUGUUUUACGUUAUUUAUGCUUACAUUAAAAUUGCUUUUCAAAUGCCUCGCGUGGAUGUCGUGAGACUAAGAACUACCAAAUAGUACAUUACGAUACAAGCGCGAAAGGUAGGAAAUUCUCACCUAGUGGCGGUUUUUACUACACGGCCUAACAUGCCUACUCUACUCUUGUCUAUAUUAAAACUUCUCGAGCCUUUAUACGCAUAGAGGCUUGAAAUAAUGUAAAGAAGAGGUUCCGAUUGUUCGUCUCUUAGUUUACAAGCGACUUACCUACUAAUAUUUUUAAGAACUAUGACUACUUGUGUCGCUUAACUUCAAACUCGGGUAAAUCCAUUGGACCCUCAGCAAAUGAAGUUAAGCGACUCGCCUGUAUUGACUGUGGCGGCCAACGGAGUUAUUUAUUUCUUGCAACUCUAAAUCAACGUAUAGUGCGUAUGAGAGACUGACAGGUUUGGCACGUGACAAAGAAUCAAGCUUUCUAUUGUGCUAACCCUACGCAUAAUAAACGAUGUGCAAUGUCGCUUUUAUUAUAAACGCGUUUUUUUUUGCUAACCCUUUUCCAGGCCGGACCAAUCUAUAAGGUUUUCCCAAAGAAUUCAAACAUAUUCAAAUUAAUCCAGCUUUGAUAAUCCAAUAAGUCGCAUUUCCCGAAAGUGCAAUCUAAUUUAAACCUUAUAUCGGAACGCUAAAGUUCGAAUUCUAUUGGCGCUUAUGCGGUCAAUAAUUGGUACUAGGUAUGCAUGGAUAAGGGUUAAAUUAUGUGUAAAAAGCACGUACCUAUCUCAUAUAUUAGACUUGGCUAAGGAUGGUAUUCCACCUGUCCAUUUUCUUGGUCCAAUGUGCAUUGCGUCUCACUCUCUCAUUAAGCAAAAUGUGAGACACAAUCACGCAAAUACACUUUGGACUAUUUGAAUAAUGUUGGAAGUUUCCUUGCUUACGUCUCUAUCACUUUAGCAUUAUCGGAAUUGGAGAUGGAGAUUCAGAACCUCGAAUUUAAAGAACACUAACGUUUGGUUGCUUCAAUCCAGGCUUCAUCGCGCUGUUAUUCUAUUAGCGUCAAUGCGACGAAGUUUGGAUAUAAAUAACCAUAAACUGCAAUAAAUGUCAUAUACUUGAAUAUUCUACUUGAAAUAAAAACAAAUUAAAAUAUUUCCGGAAAAUAAUUUAAUUUGUUCCAAUAGUAUAAAUAACCAUCAUUAAGAACUUAACUCAAUGCGUGGUCACUAGGAAAGAUUGAGCAUUAAGCGAGAGCAUCAAUGUUCUUUUUUAGAAAAACGUCGCUUGAGGAGCGUUAGUUGGUGGGUUAAUAUUUAGUGUAAAAGGAUAUAACUCUCUUGCGAUAAUUUAUUGACCUGUAUGUAACCAAUCGUAGCACGUAGCUUGUAUAAGUGUAUUUUGUUGUAUUUUAGCGCAAAACAAUGUAAUAUAUUAAUAAUUGCAGGUUGAUGUCAACAUGUUGUUUGAAAAGUAUUUUUAUUUACCUUAACCAGUGUAUACACUUGUGUUUUAUAGUUAGCAAUAGUAGCAAUCGUGAAUAAUGAAGUUUUAUUUGAAUAUUUUUUUACAUUUAAUUUAUUUUACACCAGAUCUGUAAUAUGUCGACACACCUUGUGUUGUCGUCAUAGUUAAUUCGCCCUAAGAUUAUUCACGAUAAUGUUUGUAUCAUCAAACUGGGCCUGUAUUUGAAGACCAACAAGAAAUGUAUACAUAGGUACAACGCAACGUGUUUCUACUCUCUGGACAUGUACCUAUAGUUAAGGUCCUAAUUUGUCUAGGUAGGUAAUUCGAUAUAACAGCUAGAAUUACGCUUUAGCUCCCUCUUAAACAGUUGUAGACAGUUUACGAAAUAGCACUCUACUUGUAAUCUCCGUGCGUAUCGUCCAUGUGCGAGCCAGGGGCGUAUUUUCAAAUUUGGCGCCCCAGGCCAAAAAGGUUUGCCGCCCCAAAAGUCAAGGAAGAAAAACAAAAAGCAACCCGCCAGGGGCGGCCAUUGCGGGUUGCCGCCCCGGGCCAUGGCCCUAGUGUAAAUACGCCCCUGGUGCGAGCGCGACGUACUAAUAAAUUUUGGUCUCCAAAUUCAGUCCCAUGUUUAAAGGAAACUAGAGUAGAGUUAGACCAAGAAAAGUCUACAACGAUUUUGAUAGCAUACGCAGUGCAUGUGUUAUUUUACACGUCAUAAUUUCAUAGAAGUUUGAUGUUAAAAUAACAUCUCGUUGCAGACUUGUAUUGGUCUAACUCUAAGUUUUACUGUUUAAUCAUGAAGUGCAGUUUGUCAACGGUUAGAUUGAACACGUUGUUGCUUCGUUGGAUACAUUUUGUAUAGGUAGAUACCAAUUUUAUGUUAAGGUAACCGUUUAUUAACAAAAAAGCUAUUAAAAAGAAAGUGUACUA